UUUCUUUGUAAAUGCCAAUUCGUAAAUUCUUUCAUUGCGUAGUUCACUUUCAACGUUAAAGAAAGAUGUUAUUUCAGCCGCUAACUGCCAUUUGACGAGUCUUACUCAGGAUCUGGUCCCUAAACGAAGAUGUCAGAAGAGGUAUCUCAGCACCAAACACUGCAUCUUAUUAUUCUUAGCCUUAAGAGGUACCAUGGACUCGAAUCGUUUUAUCGUCUUCGACAAAUCCCUCCCAGCUUGGACAGUGCAAUGGAACAUCCUACAGUUCAUUGGCCAUAUGUCGUCAUUCACUAUCGACUGGGAAUUGAAUUAUACCCCAGUUAUGAAAUAUGUCGCUGGGAGAUGAGUCCUACCGAGGCUGGAUUUUCUGUUAACCAUGGAGAGUAUCUCAUUGAAGUGAAUAUCUUAUCACCAGCAGUGAUAUUAACCGCAUCUCAGGACCGUUUCACCGGACUGAUCACCCUUCUUCUUCCAUCCGUGAGACCAGAGACCUUCUCUCACACAGUGCGGCUUUGCACCUCUAUGGAUAGGAGCCGAAAUGUUGCUUAUUUUCAAAAGCUCUUUUCGGUUCCAGGCCCACGUCUUGAGGAAUUU